rnacentral:rRNA from 1 species
GACGAACGCUGGCGGCGUGCUUAACACAUGCAAGUCGAACGGUAAGGCCCUUCGGGGUACACGAGUGGCGAACGGGUGAGUAACACGUGGGUGAUCUGCCCUGCACUUCGGGAUAAGCCUGGGAAACUGGGUCUAAUACCGGAUAGGACCACUGCCUGCAUGGGUGGUGGUGGAAAGCUUUUGCGGUGUGGGAUGGGCCCGCGGCCUAUCAGCUUGUUGGUGGGGUGAUGGCCUACCAAGGCGAUGACGGGUAGCCGGCCUGAGAGGGUGACCGGCCACACUGGGACUGAGGUACGGCCCAGACUCCUACGGGAGGCAGCAGUGGGGAAUAUUGCACAAUGGGCGCAAGCCUGAUGCAGCGACGCCGCGUGAGGGAUGACGGCCUUCGGGUUGUAAACCUCUUUCAGCACCGACGAAGCGCAAGUGACGGUAGGUGCAGAAGAAGGACCGGCCAACUACGUGCCAGCAGCCGCCGCCG